rnacentral:rRNA from 1 species
GGUAGGCCCGCCUCGUUUCUUACAAACUCUUGUAUUGUCUUGUAGAAUGCAUUGCCUCUCUGUGGGCGAAAUAGUUAAUACAACUUUCAACAACGGAUCUCUUGGCUCUCGCAUCGAUGAAGAACGCAGCGAAAUGCGAUAAGUAAUGUGAAUUGCAGAAUUCAGUGAAUCAUCGAAUCUUUGAACGCACCUUGCGCUCCUUGGUAUUCCGAGGAGCAUGCCUGUUUGAGUGUCAUGUUAUUCUCAAUCCCUUUGGUUUUUGUGACCGCUGGGCUUGGAUGUGGAGGUUUUUGCUGGCUUCGCGGUCGGCUCCUCUUGAAUGCAUUAGCUGGGCUUACGCUCGAUGCAAUGGUGUAAUACUUUUCUUCACCAGUGUAACUUGCGAUUGGGGCCUGCUUCUAAUCGUCGCAAGACAACCAUAAGGACCCUCGGUCCUUUGACACCUUUGACCUCAAAUCAGGUAGGACUACCCGCUGAACUUAAGCAUAUCAAUAAGCGGAGGAAAAGAAACUAACAAGGAUUCCCCUAGUAACUGCGAGUGAAGCGGGAAAAGCUCAAAUUUAAAAUCUGACGGUUUUGCCGUCCGAGUUGUAAUCUGGAGAAGCGUCUUCCGCGC